AGUGAACGCUGGCGGCAGGCCUAACACAUGCAAGUCGAGCGGCAGCGCGUCCGACCACCCUCGGGUGGUCGGAUGGCGGCGAGCGGCGGACGGGUGAGGAAUGCAUCGGAAUCUGCCUCGUUGUGGGGGAUAACGUAGGGAAACUUACGCUAAUACCGCAUACGACCUACGGGUGAAAGUGGGGGACCUUCGGGCCUCACGCGAUGAGAUGAGCCGAUGCCGGAUUAGCUAGUUGGCGGGGUAAAGGCCCACCAAGGCGACGAUCCGUAGCUGGUCUGAGAGGAUGAUCAGCCACACUGGAACUGAGACACGGCCCAGACUCCUACGGGAGGCAGCAGUGGGGAAUAUUGGACAAUGGGGGCAACCCUGAUCCAGCCAUGCCGCGUGUGUGAAGAAGGCCUU
rnacentral:rRNA from 1 species